GACGAACGCUGGCGGCGUGCUUAACACAUGCAAGUCGAACGGAAAGGCCCUGCUCUUGUUGGGUGCUCGAGUGGCGAACGGGUGAGUAACAUGUGAGUAACCUGCCCUUGACUUUGGGAUAACUUCAGGAAACUGGGGCUAAUACCGGAUAGGAGCUCCUGCUGCAUGGGGGGGGUUGGAAAGUUUCGGCGGGUGGGGAUGGACGCGCGGCUUAUCAGCUUGUUGGGGGGGUAGUGGCUUACCGAGGCUUUGACGGGUAGCCGGCCUGAGAGGGUGACCGGCCACAUUGCGACUGAGAUACGGACCAGACGCCAACGGGAGGCAGCAGGGGGGAAUAUUGCCCAGUGGGCGGAAGCGUGAGGCGACAGCGCCGCGGGCGGAAAGACGGCCUGCGAGUUGUAAACCGUUUCCGCCUGUGACGAAGCGUGAGUGACGGUAAUGGGUAAAGAAGCACCGGCUAACUACGUG
rnacentral:rRNA from 1 species